AAGCUACCAGGGACCAAAGCGGGUGAAACAACUGAUGCAACUCUUACCUUUGCACAAUCACAGUCCACUCAAAAGUCAAGAGCUUUAUUCAACGAGAGAGAGUCAUCACAGCUCAAGGAGACACUCCAACCACAAGGAGUUGUGUGGAAUGAGGCUGGUGAGGAGAGAAGGGGUAUAGCCGAGGGAGAAUUCCUAGGGUCAGAUCCAGAGGCUGGGAGGGGUGCAUUCAACCCCAAGCUUGAGGUUCCCCACUGUUGGUAUAUCUCAGAAUCAUUUUGGUGGAAGCGCACGGCAGUGUUUAGCACAGGGGUAUGUGUGUAAAAGGAAGGCCAUUGGGGUCUUGGACUGGAAACCCAGCAAGCAGAUUUUACAGUAUAUCAUUUGGAUGCACAAUGUACAGUGGUACCUCGGGUUACAUACGCUUCAGGUUACAUACACUUCAAGUUACAGACUCCGCUAAGCCAGAAAUAGUACCUCAGGUUAAGAACUUUGCUUCUGGAUGAGGACAGUUUCAGAUUAAGAACGGACCUCGGGAACCAAUUAAGUACUUAACCCGAAGUACCAUUGUACCUGUUUUGUAUUUUAGUAUUGUUAUGUAUAUGAAACUAAUCGUCUUUUGCAAGCUGCAAGGUGGCAUAAGAGCAUAUAAAUAAAUAUGCUCUCACCAGCAGAAACUGGGCCAAUAAAUGGCAUCACUCAGCCAAUAUGCGUCUUUGCCAGAAACGUGAUAUUUAAAGCCGGUAACCAGCCUGUCAGUGUGUCAUCCUCACAAUUUGGUGAUAUGAUAUUUCUUCCAAUUCCCUGGAAGUGAAUAAAGAUCCAAGAACAUAGGAUUGCCCUGUUAAACUCCAGGUGACCUGGGAAAUACCAGGACAAAUCGCCAAGCUGUAUCAUUUGCUCAUCUAUACCACAAGAUGGAGGGAGUCAAAACAGCUGGACAGAGAAGCAGCCAAAAUAGGCUAGGAGUGGCUUGCAGAUCACUACAGGCAAGACUGUUCCUGCCCUCAGGCUUACAAUUUAAAAGAUCUGACACAAAAGGAAGAUAGAUUGGGAGGAAGGAGUGAACUCAAGUGCCAGCUCUUAGUUACAAGGUCUUCUAAUGAUCAGUUGGAAAGGAAACAGCUAAAGGAGAGUCAGAACCAAAAGGUGGUGGCUCUGCAUCUCUCCUCUUUUGUAGCUGGAUGGAAGGGCUGCUCAUAUUGUAAACAUGAUGGCACUCUGAGCUUCUGUUAGGCAUUUCACAACCAUGUUUACUUGUGGUAAAGGAAAGAGCAAGCUGCUACUUUGCUCACCGGGCAAUAUUAUCAGUGCACAUUGUUUACAGCACCACUUGCUUUUCUGUGGAAAGAGACAGCGAUCUCACAAAUCUAGAAUUAAUGACUCAUUCGCAGUAUUAAGCAAGAGGAACAGCUGCGUCACAAAACCAAAGAGCCCUUUCAAUUUUAAGUGGUUAAAGCAAAGGAAUCUGCACCAAAGAUUUGGUUAUUUUUAUGUUUCAGAUAUACUUCAGAGAGAUGUAAAGAUCAGCCCAGAAAACUUUGAGGCUUUGAUUAUUGCUAAGAAGGUCUCUCUUUCUUUCUGAGUUGGCUUAAA